GUCCUUAAACCCUAAAUCCUCGUCGAGCUGCGGUGGAUGGCGCAGACGGAGACUGCCCCUCGCCCUCCUCGUCUUCUCGCUGCCUGUGUCUGUAUCGUGACCCUGUUUUCUUCUUCCUCCUCCUCGUCCCUGGAUUUGCACAAUCCUCUUGCCCACUUGACGCUGCUGUAGCCAUGACGAUUGCUAAGCCAGGCACGCCGGGGGCUCUGUCCAUAUGCGAGAAUGUUGUGGUGGUGCUCGAUUUUGGGUCGCAGUAUACCCACCUCAUCACGCGGCGAAUUCGUGGCCUGCACAUCUCCUCGUUUUGCUUGCCUGCGGGGACGCCGCUUGACAAGAUCCAGGCUCUGAAGCCUUCUGUUAUUAUCCUCUCGGGUGGUCCGCACUCCGUGCACCUCGAAAAUUCCCCAACUCUUCCCGAGGAGUUCUUUUCUUACGUACAAGAGCAAGGGAUCACUGUGUUGGGAAUUUGCUAUGGGUUACAUUUAAUUGUGAAGUUGCUCGGAGGCGAGGUGAAGCAGGCUGAGCACCAGGAGUAUGGUCGUAUGCAGAUCUCUGCCGUCGAGGGGAGCCGCCUAUAUGGCGACGCUGGGUCUAUUAACAAUCAGACCGUGUGGAUGAGCCACGGUGAUGAGGCUGUGAAGCUGCCGCCUGGGUUCAAAGUUGUGGCCACUAGUACGCAGGGUAAUAUUGCCGCUAUUGAAAAUGUGGAUUCCAGAAUCUACGCCCUCCAAUACCAUCCCGAGGUUACGCACUCAGAGAAAGGGACAGAGACUUUGAGACACUUUUUCCUGAAUGUCUGCGGCAUGAAGGCUGACUGGCAGAUGCAGAAUGUGUUGGAGGAAGAGAUUAAAAAGGUCACUGCGACCGUCGGCCCAGAUGAUCAUGUUAUUUGUGCACUCUCCGGGGGCGUGGACUCAACAGUAGCAGCUACUCUGGUGCACCGUGCUAUUGGAGAUCGCCUUCAUUGUGUGUUUGUAGAUAAUGGCCUUUGCAGAUACAAGGAAAGAGAAAGAGUGAUGGCCACAUUUGUGAAAGACCUUCAUCUGCCAGUCACUUGUGUGGAUGCCACUGAGCAGUUUCUCAGCAAAUUGAAGGGCGUGGUAGAUCCAGAGAGAAAGAGGAAGAUCAUCGGAGCAGAGUUUAUUGCAGUCUUUGAUGAAUUUUCGCACAGAUUGGAGAGAGAGAUUGGAAAGAUGCCUGCUUUCCUUGUGCAGGGAACACUUUAUCCAGAUGUCAUUGAGUCGUGUCCUCCUCCAGGGAGCGGGAAGUCGCAUUCCCACACAAUCAAAAGUCAUCACAACGUCGGUGGCUUGCCCGAGAACAUGAAAUUGAAGUUGGUUGAGCCUCUCAAGUGGCUCUUCAAAGACGAGGUACGCGAAAUGGGUGCAUUGUUGGAUGUACCUGUUUCCUUUUUGAAGCGCCAUCCUUUCCCUGGACCUGGAUUGGCCGUGCGAAUUCUUGGGGAUGUAACUCAGGACGGCGCACUCGACACUAUCCGCUUGGUUGAUGAGAUCUUUGUGAACAGCAUUCGAGAGGCAGGUCUUUACGAUAAGAUCUGGCAGGCAUUUGCUGUUUAUCUGCCAGUAAAGACUGUUGGCGUUCAAGGCGACAAACGGACACAUUCACACGCUGUUGCUCUACGUGCAAUUACAAGUGAAGACGGAAUGACUGCUGACUGGUUUCAUUUUGAUGGAAAGUUUCUUGCCGAGGUAUCAUCUAAAAUCUGCAACAGCGUAAGGGGUAUCAAUAGGGUGGUAUACGACAUUACGUCUAAACCUCCAUCAACUGUUGAGUGGGAAUAGACGUCAGUAAUGUAUUUUGGAAGUACUGUUGGUUAUGACGAUUCACUGCAAUACUUAACAAACUAUUUUAUACUUCAUUUGGGAAUUUUGUUCCUUCUUUAAUCUUUGCGACGAAUCACUGGAUAGGAGCAGCACAUUGUACGAAUUAUCGCUGAAGUUUCUGGGCUGUACAGAGCGUUGCUUCAAUUCCGUUAAUUGAUUUCUCAAUAUUUGCAGUUAAGAGCUGAUAGGUGGCAGGGCGUUGGUUCGUCGCUUAAACGCUUAAUCUCUUAGGACUCGGAUCGACUUUUUUGUCGAGUGGAAUGUCGGUGUAGGACUUAAUUUGAGGUGAACAUAAUGCAAAAGUUUCCCUUACGUCAUCUUA